AGUGAACGCUGGCGGUAGGCCUAACACAUGCAAGUCGAACGGCAGCACAGUAAGAGCUUGCUCUUACGGGUGGCGAGUGGCGGACGGGUGAGGAAUACAUCGGAAUCUACUUUUUCGUGGGGGAUAACGUAGGGAAACUUACGCUAAUACCGCAUACGACCUACGGGUGAAAGCAGGGGAUCUUCGGACCUUGCGCGAUUGAAUGAGCCGAUGUCGGAUUAGCUAGUUGGCGGGGUAAAGGCCCACCAAGGCGACGAUCCGUAGCUGGUCUGAGAGGAUGAUCAGCAACACGGGAACUGAGACACGGUCCAGACUCCUAGGGGAGGCAGCAGUGGGGAAUAUGGGACAAGGGGCGCAAGCCUGAUCCAGCCAUCCCGCGUGGGUGAAGAAGGCUUUCGGGUUGUAAAGCCCUUUUGUUGGGAAAGAAAAGCAGCAGGUUAAUACCCCGCUGUUCUGACGGUACCCAAAGAAUAAGCACCGGCUAACUUCGU
rnacentral:rRNA from 1 species